rnacentral:rRNA from 1 species
CAGUAGCGUAUAUUAAAGUUGUUGCAGUUAAAAAGCUCGUAGUUGGAUUUCGGGGCAGCCUGGCUGGUCCGCCGCAAGGCGAGUACUGGUCAGCCGCCCUUCCUCUCGAAAGCCCCGACUGCUCUUUAUUGCAGUGGUCGGGUAGUUCGGGACGUUUACUUUGAAAAAAUUAGAGUGUUCAAGGCAGGCCUACGCCUGAAUACAUUAGCAUGGAAUAAUGGAAGAGGACCUCGGUCCUAUUUUGUUGGUUUCCAGGACCGAAGUAAUGAUUAAGAGGGACAGUUGGGGGCAUUCGUAUUUAAUUGUCAGAGGUGAAAUUCUCGGAUUUAUGAAAGACGAACAACUGCGAAAGCAUUUGCCAAGGAUGUUUUCAUUAA